GACUGGUUGGCGCAACGGUAGCGCGUUCGACUCCAGACAGCCCUUUCCAUAAGGAUGAUGGUAAUCGAAAGGCUAGGCGUUCAAAUCGCCUACUGGUCA